rnacentral:rRNA from 1 species
UUUAACGGCUGCGGUAUUUUGACUGUGCUAAGGUAGCAUAAUCAUUUGUUGCUUAAUUGGUAACUCGAAUGAAAGGUUAAACUAACUCACUUGGUUUGUAGUGUUGGUUAGAAGAUUAAAGUCAAGGUAAGAAUUCUUUGAUUUUCUAGGGGACGAUAAGACCCUAGAAGCUUAACAAUAAGAGUAUUUAUUAGUUAUAAAGAUUAAUUUGUUUUACUGGGGCGGUAAAGGUAUAUAAACUAUCAGGUUAGUGAGAGAUCCUUAAGAUAAAGAUAUGGCGUAAAAGUUACUCUAGGGAUAACAGUGCGA